rnacentral:rRNA from 1 species
GACGAACGCUGGCGGCGUGCUUAACACAUGCAAGUCGAACGGUGAAGCGCCUUCCUUCUUGGUGGGUGUGGAUGAGUGGCGAACGGGUGAGUAACACGUGAGUAACCUGCCCCCUUCUUCUGGAUAACCGCAUGAAAGUGUGGCUAAUACGGGAUAUUCUGGGUCUGUCGCAUGAUGGGUCUGGGAAAGAUAUUGUUUCGGUGGGGGAUGGGCUCGCGGCCUAUCAGCUUGUUGGUGGGGUGAUGGCCUACCAAGGCGGUGACGGGUAGCCGGCCUGAGAGGGUGGACGGUCCCACUGGGACUGAGACACGGCCCCGACUCCUACGGGAGGCAGCAGUGGGGAAUAUUGCACAAUGGGCGCAAGCCUGAUGCAGCGACGCCGCGUGAGGGAUGGAGGCCUUCGGGUUGUGAACCUCUUUCGCCAGUGAAGCAGGCCUGCCUCGUUUGUGGGUGGGUUGACGGUAGCUGGAUAAGAAGCGCCGGCUAACUACGUG